AUGUAAGUGGAACCUUUAAAACGUGAAGAUGGAUGGUGACAGAGUCAUAUUGGGUGGAGACCAUUAUUUCAGGUUUAACCAUCCUAUUGAAGUAAGCAACAAGCAGACAACACCAGCCCAGCAGGAAAUGAAGGACUUUGAGUUUGCUAAACAAGAAGUCCAGAGAGUGCAAGAAGCAAGGUUGCAGGCUGAGCUUGAGGAAGCAAGGAAACAAGCUCAGGAAGAGAUGUUCUUAGAGCUGGAGAAAGCGAAGCGGGAGGCUGAGAUGGAAUGGAACUCCAGGAAAACUGGAUACGAGGACAAACUGAUAGAGCUGGAGCAGUCGCGACAGGAAGCUCAGGAGUUCAUACAGAAACUUCAGAAACAAAAAAUGCUCUUAGAACAAGAAGUUCUUGCAGGUAGAAAGAGACAGCAGCUUGAAGCUAAAGCUGCUGAAAAAGUAGCAAGUCAGCCGGAUUCUGCGAGAGGUUCCAGGCUUUUGGAGUUUUUAGAGUCUGAGAAACAGAAAGCAGCUCAGAGGAUUGAGGAAGUGAAACAACGAAGAUCGGAGAUGAUGUCCAUUACACGUCGUAAUGGCUUCCUUGAAUCGGGGAAAACUGAUCUGUAUAAAGUAGCUCUACUGCUUAGAGAGGCCAACAAAAUUAGUCAGCUGCUCAAGAAACACACAACAUUCUGUAGGUUUGAUUAUCUAGAGGAUGACAAGAUGAAAACCAAGAUAAAAGUGACCAACACAAAGCUUGGAGUCUGCACCUUCUGGUCCAUCGUCAAGUUUGAGGACAAACUGAUGCAGAUGAGGGACCUAUACCAGAAUGAUGCUGAUAGUUCUGCUGAUGAUGAGUUAUUCAAUGAUCCUAGUGAUAAAUGGGAGCAGGACCUAUCUAAUACCCCAGGGAGAUCUCCAAAGAGUCGGCUUCAUCGUAGAUCUUCCGUAACAUCGCCUUACAGAGCUAGUGUGUCAAGUUUCAAUACCAGCCUUAUGAAAGGUUCAGUGAGCAGUAUGCCGGACUGUCUCUGUCCCCACCACAGCCAAACAGAAUCUGUUCUCAAUGUGUACAAAUCACAUGCUCUUGCAAUUAUGGACAACUUCCACUCCAUGCAUAUGGAGGAGAGCGUAGCAGACAAAAUCACCAGUUCCUGCAGCAAGAUCAAGAGCUCUGUCCUCAGGAUCACGGACUACCACAGCUGUGUUCACAAUGACAGCAUUUCAGAUGGUCAGUCAGAUGAAGUGAUUCAGACAGAGGGACUUGAGCUGGUGUCCAACCUCCAGUGUCUGACGGCCUGUUCUGCCGUCUGGUCCUCCAUGUACAUGAGGGAACAGCUCCAGUCAGCCAUCAUACACGACCUGACCCAUAAACUGAGGGACCAGGUCAAGGCCAUUGGAAACCAAGUAGUUCUCUUCUUCCAGGGGUGUGAAGGGGAGAUCGAGAGCUUGAUCCAGGAGUCAAGUUCUAAUAUCAUAGACAAUGUUAUGAGUGUCUGUCGGAUCACAGGGGAGUUAGCCCUGGCUACAGACACUAGGAUGGUCAGUCUAGAGGUGUUCCAAAUGGAUGAUUCAUCAACAAUAGACAAGUUAAGUGCAGAAGUGUGUCAGUCAUUCCUGGUUGGGUGUGAUGAACUUGUAGACAAGAGCUUACAAGGGGCCAUUUCUUCUCUGGAGGAACUUGAAGCCAAGGCUCAGCAACUGGGGGACGUCUCAGCAGCAAAAAUUAAUUUAGGAGAGGUACCCAGGAGUGUUGAAAUUAUCAUUAGCUCUGCCCGAGAUUUGCUUGAAAAAUGUCAGGAGGUUCAAGUGGAGAUUGACAUGAGUGUUAGGGAGGGCUUCCAGUCCAUCCCCGCCUCCUUCUACAGCUUGAGUUACAAGCGAUGUCGCGGCCUGGUGACCCAGAUCAGUAACCUCCUUGAAACGGUCAAUCUUCUGAUGCAGAGUGUUCAGCCUGUUGUUCAAGGGACAUAUUUUUGUGGUUUAUGCAUGAAAUCUGACCAAAAAUGAGCCACAAUGGAUACUGAUGAAUCCAAAAUACAUGAAAAGACAAUGAUGUAAGAAAACUAUGUCGAUGCGCAGAAUUAAUACAGAAAGGCGCACUACGUUUAAUUUCAACGACCUCUAAAGACAAGGUCAAGGACGGAGAUCUGUCGGACAUUUCUGUGUUAUCUGACUCUCAGUAUGAGCAACUGGAGCUUGCCGCAAGAGAAUUGUGUUCAGCGACAAAAUCAUUGAUUGAGCAAACUGAGAAAGUGGCCCAAAUAGAGACCCCUGUCACUACCCCCCGGGGUAAACGUCUUCUCCCUGUGUCACCCGAUAAAGCUCUGGCGUCGUCCCUGAAGAGGAAUAUUUCUAUAAUCAGAACUCCCAUCAGAAAUGGGGACAGUGGUCAAAAACAUUGAGCUUAAAUCGAAACUAGAAAAUUAUCAGCUGAAAAUUAAAUGCCUUUAUUAUGCCUUUUUACCUGGAUAUUAUGUAAAUUUUUGUAUGGGGUAUUUAAUAAUUGAAGUAAAUAUUAUGCAAUUUUAGAUGGGAGAGACUGGUUAGACAAUGUCUUUAUUCAUAAGGAUUCGUUAUUUAUUUAUUUAAAAGCUUGCUCUGUUGCACUGGCAAGAUUAUAUGGUGUGUUAUUUGCUGUCGACUUGUUCCUCUGUGUUGCACAGUAUGCCUCUUUUACAGUGCUAUCUGUGUUGAUUUUGGGUUGUUAGUAUUUUCCCACUCAUCUUUUUACUGAGUUAUAUGUACCGGUAUGUAUUUGUAUAGGAGACUCAAUGGGCAACUUUCAUAUCAGUGUUUUGAAGAAAAAAAUCUUAAGAGUUUUUUUAGAGUCUGAAACAAAAAAUAUUAUUAGUAAUGGACUUUCAGUAAAAGAACAGUUUUUAUAUCAGAUGCCUUCCAUUGUUAUUAAACUACACUCAAGUAACUGUCAUCUUGCUAUUAUAAAAACAAGUGUUUUUAACCAUAUGUAAAAAGAGAAGUGCAAUGUGAAAUUGCAAAAUGACUUAAUAUAAUCAUGCAUUGUUGAUAAAUUUGUAAUACACAAUU
rnacentral:misc_RNA from 1 species